ensembl:lncRNA
CCGCGAUGUGGUGUCCUAGACUACUGCGCCACCCGGGUCCCAUUUUUUUGCAGAAUUCUGCAUGAACAUUCUCAAUUUGGUGUUUUGUGAAUUCUUGGUUGGGGAGCGGACCCCAGACCUCAUACCCAUAAAGGGCAAUGGGUUCAGAUCCUAAUUGGUAAAAAAAAAUCAAUGGCUGCCCAAUUUCUGGAAGAUCGUAAAUCUACCAUCUCUGAUUUGCACCAGACUGCUGCUCACGGACAGAAGAGAUGGACUUCAACCAUCAAUAGCCCGGUGGAGGAUUGUUAUCCAUGGUGCUGUGGAUGGUUACAGCAGACUUGUUGGGUUUCUGAAGGCCUCUGACAACAACAGGAGUGCCACAGUCAUGGAUGUCAUUCGAAGCAGCCAUCACCAGCUACGGAGUACCAUCCCGGGUGAGAUGUGACCCGGGUGGUGAAAACAACCGUAUCUGUGCCUUCAUGGAGCAAUUCAGGGGUGGUGAGAGGGGAAGUGCCCUCAGAGGAAGGAGCACACAACCAGAGGAUAGAGUGGCUGUAGGGGGACGUCUGGCAUGGAGUCUCCAACGUUUACCAUGACCUGUUCACCUUCUUGGAGACGGAGCAGAUCAUCGACAUCAACAAUGGGGUGGACCUGUGGGCACUGCACUUUGUGUUCCAGCCACGGAUGAACAGAGAUCUUGCUGUGUUUGCCAGUCAGGGGACCCACCAUGGGCUGAGGACUGAACAACGGCAGUCACCUCUGCAGUUGUUCGUCUCGGGCUCCCUGGCAAUGCAGAGGGCCAAUCUGACAGCUGUAAGGGAUUUGUUUGCCCCAAAUUCAACCACCAUCAGCUCUCAAGCCACCACCUCAGCUCCUCCUCCAACAACCAUCACCUCAGCGCCUCCUCCAACCACCACCUCAGCUCCUCCUCCAACAACCAUCACCUCAGCGCCUCCUCCAACCACCACCUCAGCUCCUCCUCCAACAACCACCACCUCAGCUCCUCCUCCAACAACCAUCACCUCAGCGCCUCCUCCAACCACUGGCGCCGCAGCUAUUUAUUGGUCGGAAUGGGUGAUUGUGCCACAAACCCAGUUCACCAUCAGCAACACACAGAUGGAGCUGUUGUGGACAAUAAUUCAAUUGGAAGUCCCCAGAGGCAGCCUGGGAGUUGACAUUCUACAGAGGGUUAUGGCAGUUAUAUCUUCAGCGCCACUCGUUCCUACUUCAACCUGAUUUAUACUCCCCUACUGGGAUGAGGGAUUGGAUGCUAUAUCUUCAGCUCCACUCCUUCCUUUGAAUCAGUUCAUUUUUAUAAUACUAUUAUACAUUUUAUAAUACUAACAUUCCCCCUCUCACACACUGUAUGAUUUGGUCUCUAGAAAGGUGCGACAGACAUUUACAACUCUAAACAGAUGGGGACCAGAGUUUAGACACAGGUGGCCUUAACAAAAGUGACGUACUUCUCCAUUCCGUUAUGAUUUUGUUUGCUCAUAUUUGGAGAGUGUCAGGUACUGUUAAGAUAUAAGGCUGAAGGUUAUUGUAUUUUGCUCUAUGGCGCUUUAGCACAGCAUUCCAUCUGCUGACACAAUGUUUGUCUUCCACUCAGUAUAACACGACCCAGGAGAGGCCUACUGCAAGCACUGGAUUAGAGCCUUCAGAGCGCGCCUGCUGUGGGAGGACAACAGAACAUUCUGAAUGGACAUUAUUAAAACAGAACUUGCAUUUUUGUAAUGCCCAAUCGGGACUUUUAUAAAUUGUUAAAAUAAAUGUGUGGAGAAAGCCCUAUAGUUAAAAAAAAUAAUUUAAAAAAACUAUGAAGAUAGGGAUUCGGCUCCCGUUACAUUUUAUAUCUUUGUGAUUAACAGCAACCGAUUACAGUUACUAACAUAACAUUGUUGACACAUUGUGGCAGCUCAAAUGAUGUGGUUGAAGAUGGACUAGUGCAGGGCUCUCCAACCCUGUACCUGGAGAGCUACUGUCUUGUAAGUUCACUCCAACCCUAAUCUAGUGCACCUGAUUUGAAUAAUUACCUGCUUAAUAAAUUAAUCAGGUUAGUUACAAUUGAGGUUGGAUUGAAAACCUACAGGAGGGCAGCUCUCCAGGAACAAGGUUGGAGAGCUUUGGACUAAUGGAUCUAGUUCUUAGAUCAAUGCAUUUGAAAUUCGAUAAGUUACUACGAAGGUGCAGUUCCCAGAAGUGGAGCUGUCACUUAAUACAGUGGAUGGGAAGUCUUAUUUCAUGUAGUUCUAAUUAAAUGAUUGUUGAAGUUUAUUGUUCUUAAUGUAGGAC